CAAAAAGAAGCGGAAACUCGUUUUUAAAUCAUUUGUUGCUGUUGGAGACGAAGAUCAGACGACUUCGAAGGCUGCACCGAUUUUACUGAGUAGAAACACUGCUGGGUGUUGGAGGAGUCCGGCACCACCUGACCUGCUGGCGCCUUCACCUGCAGCAGGUUCACAGCAUUCACCACAGAGAAUGACCUUCAGGGACACCGUAGAGAAACCGCUUGACUCCGUCAGGAUGGACCACAGGACUGAUUCCUCAAAAGGCAGAGAUGGAUCACAUCCACUGAACCUGGAGACAGGGUGAAGGUGUCGGUGGCAGCGACGUCGUGUCCAUCGAAGAUGAACCAGUGGAGUAGUGAACCGAGUUGAGGAUCAGAGCUUGAGAAGCUGGGUGAAGGUCUGGUGUGAAGGCGCUUCAUUUACUUCCACCCAGUCGACGAGAACUUCAUCAGUGGUGAUGGUUAGAACCAGUUUCCACCAGAGGUCGACAGACCAAAGAUGGCUCAAUCCUUCCUUGGAUGUCUGAGCGAACUCAGAUCGAGUCGUGUCCAUUGGCUCAAAACGUUUGGUUGGUUUGUUAAUGUUUAUUUCUUCCAACAGGUGGAGGACGGACG